GAUGAACGCUAGCGGCAGGCUUAACACAUGCAAGUCGAGGGGCAGCGGGAGUAGCAAUACUUGCCGGCGACCGGCGCAAGGGUGCGUAACGCGUGAGCAACAUGCCCGUAUCAGGGGGAUAAUCCAUGGAAACGUGGUCUAAUACCCCAUAGUAAAUUUUUGGGGCAUCUCAAAGAUUUUAAAGCUUUGGUGGAUACGGAUUGGCUCGCGUGACAUUAGCUAGAUGGUAAGGUAACGGCUUACCAUGGCUACGAUGUCUAGGGGUUCUGAGAGGAAGGUCCCCCACACCGGAACUGAGACACGGUCCAGACUCCUACGGGAGGCAGCAGUGAGGAAUAUUGGACAAUGGAUGGAAACCUGAUCCAGCCAUGCCGCGUGCAGGAAGACGGCCCUAUGGGUUGUAAACUGCUUUUGUAUGGGAGCAAUAAGGUCUACGUGUAGACCGAUGAGAGUACCAUACGAAUAAGCACCGGCUAACUCCGUGCCAGCCGCCGCGGUAACAC
rnacentral:rRNA from 1 species